UCUACGGGUGGCUGCAGUGAGGAAUAUUGGUCAAUGGGCGGGAGCCUGAACCAGCCAAGUCGCGUGAGGGAAGACGGUCCUAUGGAUUGUAAACCUCUUUAGGCGGGGAGCAAUGCCGGGCACGCGUGCCCGGAGGGAGAGUACCCGCAGAAUAAGCAUAGGCUAACUCCGUGCCAGCAGCCGCGGUAAUACGGGGGGUGCGAGCUUUAUUCGGAUUUAAUGGGUUUAAAGGGUGCGCAGGCGGAGUAUUAAGUCAGGGGUAAAAUGUCCGGGCUCAAGCCGGGCCGGCCGUUGAAACUGGGGAUCUUGAGUGGGCGAGAAGUAUGCGGAAUGCGUGGUGUAGCGGUGAAAUGCAUAGAUAUCACGCAGAACUCCGAUUGCGAAGGCAGCAUACCGGCGCCCGACUGACGCUGAGGCACGAAAGCGUGGGGAUCGAACAGGAUUAGAUACCCUUGUAGUC
rnacentral:rRNA from 1 species